rnacentral:rRNA from 1 species
GGGAACUGCGUUNUGAACUGGGUGACUAGAGUGUGUCAGAGGGAGGUAGAAUUCCACGUGUAGCAGUGAAAUGCGUAGAGAUGUGGAGGAAUACCGAUGGCGAAGGCAGCNUCCUGGGAUAACACUGACGUUCAUGCUCGAAAGCGUGGGUAGCAAACAGGAUUAGAUACCCUGGUAGUCCACGCCCUAAACGAUGUCAAUUAGCUGUUGGGCAACUUGAUUGCUUAGUAGCGUAGCUAACGCGUGAAAUUGACCGCCUGGGGAGUACGGUCGCAAGAUUAAAACUCAAAGGAAUUGACGGGGACCCGCACAAGCGGUGGAUGAUGUGGAUUAAUUCGAUGCAACGCGAAGAACCUUACCUGGUCUUGACAUGUACGGAAUCCUCCAGAGACGGAGGAGUGCCUUCGGGAGCCGUAACACAGGUGCUGCAUGGCUGUCGUCAGCUCGUGUCGUGAGAUGUUGGGUUAAGUCCCGCAACGAGCGCAACCCUUGUCAUUAGUUGCCAUCAUUUAGUUGGGCACUCUAAUGAGACUGCCGGUGACAAGCCGGAGGAAGGUGGGGAUGACGUCAAGUCCUCAUGGCCCUUAUGACCAGGGCUUCACACGUCAUACAAUGGUCGGUACAGAGGGUAGCCAAGCCGCGAGGUGGAGCCAAUCUCACAAAACCGAUCGUAGUCCGGAUUGCACUCUGCAACUCGAGUGCAUGAAGUCGGAAUCGCUAGUAAUCGCAGGUCAGCAUACUGCGGUGAAUACGUUCCCGGGUCUUGUACACACCGCCCGUCACACCAUGGGAGUGGGGGAUACCAGAAGUAGGU